UGCUGCUGUAACUGUAGUAUAUUAUCUCUGUUUUCACCACAGAUUUCAUGAAUCAUUUUGCUUCCAUAGCAGCAGGGUCUCCUGACAUGGUCUCAUGUAAUAGCCAUACGGCUAUUUUAUCUCCAAAAGAUAAUGUUGGUGUAUGGAAAUUAUAGUCAUCCACAUCAUGCCACUGUCACAUUUUGCUUCGAUACUCAGCCACCGGUAGGCCCAAAGUUUGCAGAAUAAUAUCCAACAUCAUCCUGUGAGGUAUUUUCACCAUCGGUGGAGCACCCUGUAGGCCAAUAACCAAGCUCGCCAUAAUCCGCUGACAGAUGCAAAUUGCAUUGACACAAACUGGAGCCCACGCAAGUGCCAAAAGUAGCACGUGUGUAUGGCAAAGCUUCGAGAACAUCCAGUAUUCCCGUUGAGAGCAUGAGCAGAUCCAUGUCCGAGCCUCCACCGUUGUAAUCUGGUAUCCCAUUCUCAUCCUUGUCAGACCUUUGUCUUCCCAAAAUCAAAUUUGUCCUGAACCAAAACAGAAAGAAUUCGAUUCAUUUACUUUUAGCAACAUGUAACAGAAAGCCUACUAAAUCUUCCUUUGGUGGAAUCUGCACUUUCAUCUACCCAGAAAGGAACAAUUUUGCACAAUAAAGAACACAGACGUCAAGGACUAAUAUAAAUGAAGUGAGAUCUUCGUUCCAAAAA